CUAAGCUGAAGAGAGAACACUCCCCUCUGCUUCCCAUCUUAAAGCAGCUGAAUAAUUUCCUUAGAAUUCUAUUCCUGAAGCUAGGAAGAAAAACUUAUUUAUACAUAUAUGCAACCUGCAAGUCUCCAGUUUCUAUUCUUCCUUCCUCUCUGACCCUUCCCCUCCCCCACUUUGCACCAGAGAAGUCAGACUCCGGGAGUGCUUUAACAGUUUGAAGGCUAAUCUGAAAGAGGAAGAAGAAUCUGUAUAUCUGUAUAUAUUGGCUAGCAAAUGUGCCCUGCCCUCUCUCCUCUUAAAAACAGCAGCAACCCAUCUUUGCAAAGAAGCUUGCCUAUAGAGCAGGCACUCUGUGAAUGGACUGUGCUUUUAUGACCCUACAGGGUAUCCAGAUACUGUGCAGCUCACCAAUAAGGAUUAGUUGCAAGGACUGGUAGAUCGAAUUUACUGAAGACUUGGAGCUUGCUUCUGAGAAAAAACGCAAAGGACAGUAAACUGUGGACCUUGAAGUUAGCAGAGAAGAAGGAACAAUUUGAAGACGGAGAAGAAAGUGGAGAAGAUCUAAGAAAUGAUUAUCUGACUACAAGCGUGGGCUUCCUCUGAUAUUACACCAUAAAAAGCAUUGAUCACCAUAAGAAGGAAUAUUUGUGAAGGUACUCCAGUGCCAGAAAGAGGUAUACCUGAAUUUUCCAAUGAACUUUGCUUUUUCAACUUGCAAUUAUCUUAACAAAGUAACUUACUUCAUUAUUCUCACGAAAAUAAAAUCAGUUCUAUUUAUGUUUGUUGCUAGCUUUUAUUAACCCAUUUGUUUUCUGCUAAGACGGCUUUUACAAUGCUGUAUUGUAACCUCUUCACACUUCUAAAUUAUCAUUCCUAUCCCCCACUAGAAUAUGAGCUGCUUGAAGGCAGGGAUGAGGUCUAAAAUAUCUUAGAUUUCCAAAGAAACUCUCUGUAUUCAUCUAGUGGAGGGUAACAUUAUUGGGGGAUCACAGUAAAUUCUAAAAAAUAAAAAAUAAAUGCUGUUUCAGCCAAGUAAAGCCAUAAUCUGUGAAAACAGUGGCUUGUAUUAAAUGAUCUCUACCACUCCAGGAUUCACCACUUGCUUGAAAGUUUUACAAUCUUCUUUUUAUGGCUUAAUACAAAUUGUUGACUUCAUUAUAAAUAGACAACUGAAUCUAAAUAUUUAAAUUUUUAGAAAAGUUUAUUUUGGUCUGCAAGGACUGGGACGUUAUUAAUGAGACUAGAGACCAUCUGCUUCUUUGUAUAUUUUUAUAGUUAUUUAUCAGUUUUAUUUAGCAUCUUUCAAAGAUGUGAGAAUUUCAAAUUUAAUUAUAACAUGUAAUGGAAAAAUGAUUAGUCUAUAUCAAUGAUAUGGGUGGGAAUUUUUUAUUUUUUAGAUACAAGGUCUCACUGUUUUGCCCAGGCUUAUCUUGAACUCCUGAGCUCAAGCAAUCCUCCCGCCUCAGCCUCUUGAGUAGCCGGGAUUACAGGCAUGUGCCACCACAACUGACAUUAUCUGUGCUUUUUAACAUUAUGGUUAGCCUUGUGACUUAGUACUUUCCUUGAUAUAUUGGGAAGCAACUUUACUUACACAGCAACUUCGGACUCUGACAUUGGAAAGAUUUUAAUUUAUAUUGGAAUGAGAAGAUAACUCCAAAUGGUUUUAAAUGACAAAUAAUACUUUCAAAUGUUAAACUUGCCCUAUCAUUAAUUUAGUAUUCACUCAACACUUACUGAGCACUUAUGGGCAAGGUACGUAUGUGCUAGGCCCUGUGUGGGCUGCUUUUUUAUAUAUCAACCAGAUAGUCUGGGAGAUAAGAUAUUUAUACAAAUCAUUGAUUUGCAAGAUUGAUUUAAGUUCCUCUAGAAGUUCAUCAAAGAUAGAAAUUACUUCAGAUAGAGGCUGAGGGAAGACUUAGUCAAGAAAGUGUAAUUUGAGCUGAAUGAUGAGUAGUUUUUGUAUAUGCAAAGAAGGAGGAAAGGGCAUUUCAGGAAAGAGGAAAGGCCAUUCAAGAAGAAAAAAGACAGUGAAAAAAGACAGCCAGGUGGGUAAGCUUAUGGCACAUGUCACUGGUAUACUGAAAUAGUUGUUUCUUCUAACUAUACAGUGUACAAAAGAGAGCAGUGAGAGAGAAACUUGGAAAGGUAAAUUGCACCCAGACUAUAGAGAGCCUUAAAUAUCAGGCCAAGAAGUCUAGAUGUUAUUCUGAAGGCGUUCUAAAUCACUGAAGAUUUUAAGGAAGACAUGUCAUAAUUGAAAGCUACAAUGUGUAAAGAAUUAUUCCAGAAAGGGUUUGUAGCAGGGUAUAUUGAAAGUUGAUAGUGGUGGGAAGGCCUGCUGAUAAUUAUCUAAUACCUUUCAAGUGUGGCUCAUCUAUAAUAUGAACAAGUUCUGAGGAGUUAAUGUACAGUAUGGUGGCUAUAGUUAAUAUUAUAUUAUUUACUUGAAAUUAUUAUAUUAUUUACUUGA